AUUCAUCUGGCCCAUUGCCUUUGUCACACCUUUCAUAGCCUCUCCCAUUGCUUGGGUUGAUUUCAAUGUCUGAAAAGUAUUUCAAAAAUUCAAUUCACUAAAUCAUUAAGAAACAUAAACAAAAGAAUGUUUGUUUAAAUUUUUUCCAGAAACAAAGUUAAUACCCACUGAAGAGGUGGAAUAAAAAUUUCAAUAGGAUCAAUAUUUUACACUUCCUUAUCAAUAGACUAUCAAGGUAUUAGCCCAUCAAAAUCUAUACUCAAAUGGUUUGUAUUCUCAAUCAGACCCUGCCAGCAGAUGGCGGGUUUGAUUUCUUCAUUUGAGUGCUAGACUGCCCAAACUCUGUUUCUCAACCGAUUAACUUCAAGAAACAGAUGCUUUCUUGUGAUCCAAACCAUCUAUCUUUACCUUAUUUGAUGUUUCAUCAUAAGUAACUUUUAAAUAAUAGCUUUGCAAAUUGCAACUUACCUAUAAGACUUCACAGAUUGCAUGCAAGCCAUCCAAGAAAUAAAGCAAUUAAGUAGAUUUAUACCACAAAACAAGGUAAAAACUAAUUAUUCUUCCAAAAAAAGGUGAAGAAGAAGAAGUCAAGUUAUUAACCGCCUAAAUAAUCAGCUGGUCUGAUCUCAAAAGUCAUAAAAUAAUUCUAAAAGCUAUGUGAAUCUUGAAAGGCAGGCAUUAAGCCCUGGAUUGAAAAGAGAACAAUAAAAAAGAGGUAGUAUGCAGGAAAACAUAC
rnacentral:misc_RNA from 1 species